rnacentral:rRNA from 1 species
UAGAGUUUGAUCCUGGCUCAGAACGAACGCUGGCGGCAGGCUUAACACAUGCAGGUCGAGCGCCCCGCAAGGGGAGCGGCAGACGGGUGAGUAACGCGUGGGAAUCUACCCAUCUCUACGGAACAACUCCGGGAAACUGGAGCUAAUACCGUAUACGUCCUUUUGGAGAAAGAUUUAUCGGAGAUGGAUGAGCCCGCGUUGGAUUAGCUAGUUGGUGGGGUAAAGGCCUACCAAGGCGACGAUCCAUAGCUGGUCUGAGAGGAUGAUCAGCCACACUGGGACUGAGACACGGCCCAGACUCCUACGGGAGGCAGCAGUGGGGAAUAUUGGACAAUGGGCGCAAGCCUGAUCCAGCCAUGCCGCGUGAGUGAUGAAGGCCCUAGGGUUGUAAAGCUCUUUCAACGGUGAAGAUAAUGACGGUAACCGUAGAAGAAGCCCCGGCUAACUUCGUGCCAGCAGCCGCGGUAA